ACUGUUGGAUCAGUGGUUACUUCUUCUGUGCAGACCUCUACAACACAUGUAGAUCAACAUAAUGUAUGCCUCCAUAAUCACACAUACUACAGAGACGUUUUCAACAAUGCAGAAAAGGAGAACUGCUUUUCACCUUAUUCGGUGUUCCAUCAUUUGGAUUAUCUGCGGAAAACGGAUCAUAUUUGUGCAACAACAUUAGUGAAGAAAAUGGCAAGUACCUAUUCCAACAGUUGUAGACAAGACCAUAACUUCCAAGAGAUUAUGAACACUUACUUCACUGAUCUACCUUCCCAUUUCACUGGUGCAACCAUACAGUGCCAGACUCGUAAUAAAGUUUGGAAAGAUCUUCUCCGCUUGAGCAAUAUGGGCACCCGAUGCUUAGAUGAUUUUAUCUCUCAUAUGAACGCUGCCUAUGCUCAUAACCACGA